rnacentral:rRNA from 1 species
UACAUGGGGUGCAAACGUUGCUCGGAAUCAUUGGGCGUAAAGCGCGCGUAGGCGGUUACUUAAGUUGGAUGUGAAAGCCCUCGGCUUAACCGAGGAAGUGCAUCCAAAACUGAGUAGCUAGAGUACGAAAGAGGGUCGCGGAAUUCCCGGUGUAGAGGUGAAAUUCGUAGAUAUCGGGAGGAACACCAAUGGCGAAGGCGGGUCUCUGGGCCGAUACUGACGCUGAGGAGCGAAAGCGUGGGGAGCGAACAGG